rnacentral:rRNA from 1 species
AGCGAACGCUGGCGGCAGGCCUAACACAUGCAAGUCGAACGAACUCUUCGGAGUUAGUGGCGGACGGGUGAGUAACACGUGGGAACGUGCCUUUUGGUUCGGAAUAACUCAGGGAAACUUGUGCUAAUACCGAAUGUGCCCUUCGGGGGAAAGACUUAUCGCCAUUAGAGCGGCCCGCGUCUGAUUAGCUAGUUGGUGAGGUAACGGCUCACCAAGGCGACGAUCAGUAGCUGGUCUGAGAGGAUGACCAGCCACACUGGGACUGAGACACGGCCCAGACUCCUACGGGAGGCAGCAGUGGGGAAUCUUGCGCAAUGGGCGAAAGCCUGACGCAGCCAUGCCGCGUGAAUGAUGAAGGUCUUAGGAUUGUAAAAUUCUUUCACCGGGGACGAUAAUGACGGUACCCGGAGAAGAAGCCCCGGCUAACUUCGUG